GGGGUUUAAAUACUGAUCUAAUUGUUUAGAGAUCUUUUAUGCUGAUUGAUGUAGAAGCUUCUCUUGCGUGAGAAUGGUGGACGAUGAGCUAACAAAGAUGAUUUGUUAGCCGUCUCUUUUGGUUUGUACAUUGAUCGGCGAUAAGUAAUCUGAGUUUGGUGGCUUGAUACUUAUCAAAUGGUGCGAUUGUGUGCUCGGAUCGAAUCUAACGCGAUGGAUAUCAUUGCAUUCCAGUUUUUACAGGUGAUAGAUUUGACUUGCGGCCAUGGAUUGAUUGGAUGGAGAAUCGUUUUGUGCUGGGAGAUUACACUGAUAUCGAGAAGUUGCAUCUUGCACAUGGCUUCAUCGAAGGAGACGCACUCGAUUUUAUUCGCGAUGUCAAAUCGGUGAUGCCUUACCCGAGUUGGAAUGCGAUGAAGGAAUCGUUGUUAAGCGCUUUUGGCAUCGAUGAUGAUCCGGAGAGAAUCAGCUUGAUCUUGGAGCGAGAACGGCGAUGGGAGGAACUACAACAAUCGUAUUAGGCGAAAGCAAUUGUUUCAACAACGAAAUUAUGAGAAAAUCCAGACGAUUUCUACGAUUGUUGUGGAGGAAUCGAAAUCGCUGGACAUGGAACGCGACGUUGACGCAAACGCACAAGUACCAAAACCGUAGGUAUGCGUUUCUGAUUUUGAUCUUGUGAGGGAUAAUGAACUUAGUAAAGUGAAUUCAGUGUUGGAAAAUCGUGAUUCUGUAGUGCUGAACACGAAUUUUGAGCAAGAAUCAAUUCCGAAGAACAACCAGAUGGUUACAUUUGAAGGUGGUGCUGCGAUGUUUCAAAGUUUGGCUGGUAUCACUAAAACUUGUUUUGCAUACUAACUGUUUGAUAAAAUGUCUCCACAGAAAGAAAGUUGCAAAUCAAAGAAGAGAAGGAGAUGUUUGAAAGCUUGGAAGUUCAAAUAUAAACGACUACGAGAACAAGAGAGAAAUUGGAGGCUGCAUAUCAGUGGUUUACUAUGGUCAUUACUACUUUCCUGAAAGAAGACUCUAUUCAAAAUCAAUUGAUGAAACAGAGAGAGGCUCCCUCAAGAGGAGAUUUUGAACGUGAGUUACAAGUUCCUACUGGGAGAGUUUCUUACCAUGUGAAGUUUCUCACAGAGGUGAAACCAUUUCAAAAUCUGCAGUUCAUGACACAAGACUACAUGACUCU